rnacentral:rRNA from 1 species
GACGAACGCUGGCGGCGUGCUUAUCACAUGCAAGUCGAACGGUGAAGCUCCAAGCUUGCUUGGGGUGGAUCAGUGGCGAACGGGUGUGUAACACGUGAGCAACCUGCCCCGGACUCUGGAAUAAGCGCUGGAAACGGCGUCUAAUACUGGAUAUGACAUCUGGCUGCCUGGCUGGGUGUGGAAAGUUUUUCGGUCCGGGAUGGGCUCGCGGCCUAUCAGCUUGUUGGUGGGGUAAUGGCUUACCAAGGCGACGACGGGUAGCCGGCCUGAGAGGGCGACCUGCCACACUGGGACCGAGCCACGGCCCAGCCUCCUACGGGAGGCAGCAGUGGGGAAUAUUGCAUAAUGGGCGAAAGCCUGAUGCAGCGACGCCGCGUGAGGGAUGACGGCCUUCGGGUUGUAAACCUCUUUCAGCAGGGAAGAAGCUUUUGUGACGGUACCUGCAGAAGAAGCACCGGCUAACUACGUGCCAGCCGCCGCGGUAA